rnacentral:misc_RNA from 1 species
AACGCACGAGACCUGCGGACCUGCGGAGGGAUCAUUACUGAGUUUCACAACUCUCUAACCCUGUGUGAACUGAAGUCUGGUUGCUCAGGCAGGCGGCCCCCGGGGGGAGCCGCAGCUUCUCUGAAGCGCCUGCCGGAGGAUACCUAAACUCGUUUUAACAUAUAAUCUUCUGAGUAAUAAAAAAAAAAUGAAUCAAAACUUUCAGCAAUGGAUCUCU